rnacentral:rRNA from 1 species
UGGGAAUUUUGGACAAUGGGCGAAAGCCUGAUCCAGCAAUGCCGCGUGUGUGAAGAAGGCCUUCGGGUUGUAAAGCACUUUUGUCCGGAAAGAAAUCCUUGGCUCUAAUACAGUCGGGGGAUGACGGUACCGGAAGAAUAAGCACCGGCUAACUACGUGCCAGCAGCCGCGGUAAUACGUAGGGUGCAAGCGUUAAUCGGAAUUACUGGGCGUAAAGCGUGCGCAGGCGGUUUGCUAAGACCGAUGUGAAAUCCCCGGGCUCAACCUGGGAACUGCAUUGGUGACUGGCAGGCUAGAGUAUGGCAGAGGGGGGUAGAAUUCCACGUGUAGCAGUGAAAUGCGUAGAGAUGUGGAGGAAUACCGAUGGCGAAGGCAGCCCCCUGGCAAGUACUGACGCUCAUGCACGAAAGCGUGGGGAGCAAACGGAUUAAUNCCCUGGUAGUCCACG